AUUGAACGCUGGCGGCGUGCUUAACACAUGCAAGUCGAUCGGUAACGCGGGGGCAACCCUGGCGACGAGAGGCGGGCGGGUGAGGAACGCUUGGGAAUCUGCCCUUCAGCGGGGGACAACACGGGGAAACUCGUGCUAAUACCGCAUACGCUCCACGGAGGAAGGCCGGGGACCGCAAGGCCUGGCACUGUAGGAUGAGCCCAAGUCGGAUUAGCUAGUUGGCGGGGUCACGGCCCACCCAGGCGACGAUCCGUAGCUGGCCUGAGAGGACGAUCAGCCACAGUGGGACGGAGACACGGCCCAGACUCCGACGGGAGGCAGCAGUGGGGAAUAUUGGACAAUGGGGGAAACCCUGAUCCAGCGACGCCGCGUGGGUGAAGAAGGCCUGCGGGUUGUAAAGCCCUGUCGGUAGGGACGAAAGCUCUCGACCUAACACGUCGGGAGGUUGACUUAACCUACAAAAGAAGCACCGGAUAACUCUGUGCCAGCCGCCGCCGUAACAC
rnacentral:rRNA from 1 species